rnacentral:rRNA from 1 species
AGUGAACGCUGGCGGUAGGCCUAACACAUGCAAGUCGAACGGCAGCACAGUAAGAGCUUGCUCUUACGGGUGGCGAGUGGCGGACGGGUGAGGAAUACAUCGGAAUCUACUUUUUCGUGGGGGAUAACGUAGGGAAACUUACGCUAAUACCGCAUACGACCUACGGGUGAAAGCAGGGGAUCUUCGGACCUUGCGCGAUUGAAUGAGCCGAUGUCGGAUUAGCUAGUUGGCGGGGUAAAGGCCCACCAAGGCGACGAUCCGUAGCUGGUCUGAGAGGAUGAUCAGCCACACUGGAACUGAGACACGGGCCAGAAUCCUACGGGAGGCAGCAGUGGGGAAUAUUGGACAAUGGGCGCAAGCCUGAUCCAGCCAUACCGCGUGGGUGAAGAAGGCCUUCGGGUUGUAAAGCCCUUUUGUUGGGAAAGAAAAGCAGCAGGUUAAUACCCCGCUGUUCUGACGGUACCCAAAGAAUAAGCACCGGCUAACUUCGUG